rnacentral:lncRNA from 1 species
AAAAUUCUAGCAUCCCUGCUUCCACCCAGACAGAAGGGGUCUGGCUGUGCCUACAUUCUGUAUUUCCUCAUCAGCCUUCUAAGCCCUGGGCUUAGCCUCGAAGAACUGGCUGGAACCAUCCCACCCUCUGCUCCUUGUUCUUCCUCCUCACUCCACUGACAUCCCUGUGGGAAGGAGAGCUCCUAGUACUAUCCCUCCUCAAAAAUCAAUGGGGGUGGGGUUGCAGGGAAUCUACACAGAUUCAAUUUUUACCAUAGAGGCAGAGCCAUUGAUCCAUUGACUGCAGGUCUCAGGGUCAUUCUGAGAGUGCUUUCUGCUGGUUUUGUAAACACAAGAAACAUUCCUGUGGGUGAGUGCAUAGGCUGGAUACGGCUGGGGGAUGAGCAAACCACUGUGCCUAGAGGAAAGGAUUCACAUUUCACAGGCUUUUUCCAAGAAAGGAAGAAUGACGUGGAGAGGCAUUUGGGGUCCACUUUGGAGUCUGAUCAGAAUCGAGGCCCAGUGAUUGAACCAUUCUGGAGGCAGGUUUACUAGAAACUGUGCAAGCUGUUUCAUAAUCACAAUGUUGAGAACUGGAAAGGAUGAUCCUUUUUAAAGUUGGGGAACCACUAGCCCAACAUCGCCAUGAGGGGAAAUAGAGGCCGUGUCAGCCCCAACCAUCAAAGGAGACCUUUGUGCACUGGGUUUGCUGUAAAUGACAGAAGCCACUUCAAAAGCCUCUUUGGAGCUGUUCAGUAAAAUGCUCAGGGAACACCUGGGCACACUCAGGCAAGAUAAACCACACAGACACCUCGCAGACAGACCUCCCAGGACAGAGGGACAGCAACAAGACUCCAAAAGCAACUUGAAGUUUUGGCAGCAUGAUCAUCCACAGAGUGAAGUUCAACAUUCAGUCAAGAAGAAUCAUUCUGAUUACUUAAUUGGAAGAUCUGAUACUUCUGAAAUGAAACAUUUCACAAACUCUACUGAAAUAAGAAAUACUUUUGAUUUAUUUUUUAAAAAAUGAAUCAUUGGUUAUGGAAAGAACUAUAUGGUCUUGCAGACAGGACAAAGUUAAAGAUGUUUUGCAAGCUUAACACAACCAAAUCUGAUUUGAGAAUUAUUUUGAGGCUUGCAGCUCUGUUUGUGGCAUAAAUAUAUACAUACAUACAUACGCAGGUAUAUAUGUAUGCAAAAAUGCUUAUUGACUGUGGAAAUGACAGUUUAAGUCACUCUGUAUUUCUUUUUUCCAUGAGUCUAAUAUUGAAUUACGAUGAUUCAAAGGCUCUCAGAGUGUUGUGCUAACAUCGUAAAUGGCUAAACAUCCAAAAAAGAAAACAAUUAAAACACAACGCACACACAAUUUUCUUAAAGUUGUGGAAAAUUAGGUAGGCACAGUUGAUUGUUUUGAGCUGGUAGAAAAACCUGGGCAGCUAGCAGAGGUCUGGACAACCACGGAAAGCCCACAGCAAGGACCACACCGUGAGCAGCCACCAGAGAUUUGGGAUGGUAGACUUACCAAGAGUGUCCACUGGCGGGGGGGCACACGGUGAGAAAGUGCAGGAUACACAAUUGACACAAAAAGGAAAAUAAUAAAGUCAAACUGGUAUUCAAGCAGCAGCAGUCUUACCUUUGUUUCAUGUGUUAAACAGUCCAUGGCUCGCCACCAAAUUUUCUAUUAGGGCUGAUUAAACCCACAUCCACAUUCCCCUUCUCUGCCUUACUAAUAUCUUCCUUCCUUCUCAUCUAAACAAAACCUUCCCAGUUAGUAAUGACCACCCCUAGAG